rnacentral:rRNA from 1 species
UACGUAGGGGACAAGCGUUAUCCGGAUUUACUGGGUGUAAAGGGAGCGUAGGCGGCAAAGCAAGUCAGAAGUGAAAGCCCGCGGCUCAACUGCGGGACUGCUUUUGAAACUGUUUAGCUAGAGUACUGGAGGGGCAAGCGGAAUUCCUGGUGUAGCGGUGAAAUGCGUAGAUAUCAGGAAGAACACCGGAGGCGAAGGCGGCUUGCUGGACAGAUACUGACGCUGAGGCUCGAAGGCGUGGGGAGCAAAC